rnacentral:rRNA from 1 species
UACGUAGGGGGCAAGCGUUGUCCGGAUUUAUUGGGCGUAAAGAGCGUGUAGGCGGCCAUACAGGUCCGUUGUGAAAACUGGAGGCUUAACCUCCAGACGUCGAUGGAAACCGUAUGGCUAGAGUCCGGAAGAGGAGAGUGGAAUUCCUGGUGUAGCGGUGAAAUGCGCAGAUAUCAGGAGGAACAUCCGUGGCGAAGGCGGCUCUCUGGGACGGUACUGACGCUGAGACGCGAAAGCGUGGGGAGCGAACAGG